GAACAUGUAUAAACUGGAUUUCAUUUCUCUUGAGUAUAUACCUAGGAGUGGAACUGCUGGAUUACAUGGUAAUUUUAGGUUUAACUUUGGAGGAACUGCCAGACAGUUUUCCACAGCAGCUGCACCAUUUUGCAUUUCCACCAGCAGUGUAUGAGGGUUCCAGUUUAUCCACAUGUUUGCAACACUUAUUAACUGUCUUUUUUAUUAUAGCCUUUCUAAUGAAAGUGUUAUCUCGUGGUUUGGUUUUCACAUACGCUUUUAUAAGGCACUUUUCAAGUGUUUUUUUCCCCAAAUUUUCUUUUAAUAGAUAAGAAAUGAUAGUUUUAACUUUGUAAUUGUUGAUUUCACUUUUCUAACAGGCAAAGGAAAUUUUAACAAAAGAAUCAAAUGUGCAAGAGGUUCGUUGCCCUGUUACUGUCUGUGGAGAUGUGCAUGGUCAAUUUCAUGAUCUUAUGGAACUCUUUAGAAUUGGUGGAAAAUCACCGGAUACAAACUACUUAUUCAUGGGUGACUAUGUAGACAGAGGAUAUUAUUCAGUGGAGACUGUGACUCUUCUUGUAGCAUUAAAGGUGCGUUAUCCAGAACGCAUUACAAUAUUGAGAGGAAAUCACGAAAGCCGACAAAUUACCCAAGUAUAUGGCUUUUAUGAUGAAUGUCUGCGAAAGUAUGGGAAUGCCAACGUUUGGAAAUAUUUUACAGAUCUCUUUGAUUAUCUUCCACUUACAGCUUUAGUAGAUGGACAGGUAUGUAUAUGUGUGCUUACAUCUUGGGAGGAGGUAAAUGGAAGCAGAGAUUGACUAUUGGUAAGCUGGGGUCUAGAUUCAUAUGACCUGUGUUUCUGCAUCUCCUCGGCCUUUUCCUCCUCCUUCCCUUAUACUUAAAAUUUCAAAGCAGGGAAGUGGAUAAGUUUCACAUACAUUUGGACCAGCAAAUUUUCCUGUUGUUCUCAGAUAUGUAUGUAAAUCUUUUAACCAAAGAAUAUGCUGUGCUUUUUAAGAUAUCGAUAAACAUUAUAAAUAAAUGUUUAAGACACUGAUGUAUAGUACUAGCAAAGCAAGAUGUUAUUUAAAACUAUCUCUGCAUAUACAUGCAGUGUCUGCUGGUUACCAUGAAUAACUUUUCAUUUCUAUUUUCAUGGUAACUGCAAAUGUUAUAUUGUGUAUUACACCUUCCCUGAGAAGUGAAUGCUUGGCUGGGCACAGUGGCUAGUACUUUGGGAGGCCAAGGCAAGAGGACCGCUUGAGUUCAGGGGUUCAAGACCAGCCUGGGCAAUGUAGUAAGACCCUGUCUCUAC
rnacentral:lncRNA from 1 species